UACGAAGGGUGCAAACGUUGCUCGGAAUUAUUGGGCGUAAAGCGCACGUAGGCGGCUUUGCAAGUCGGAUGUGAAAUCCCUCGGCUUAACCAAGGAAGUGCAUCCGAAACUGCAGAGCUUGAGUACUUAAGAGGAUCGCGGAAUUCCCGGUGUAGAGGUGAAAUUCGUAGAUAUCGGGAGGAACACCAGUGGCGAAGGCGGCGAUCUGGGAAGAUACUGACGCUGAGGCACGAAGGCCAGGGGAGCAAACGGG
rnacentral:rRNA from 1 species